rnacentral:rRNA from 1 species
CCUACGGGAGGCAGCAGUGGGGAAUAUUGCACAAUGGGGGCAACCCUGAUGCAGCGACGCCGCGUGAGUGAAGAAGUAAUUCGUUAUGUAAAGCUCUAUCAGCAGGGAAGAAAAUGACGGUACCUGAGUCAGAAGCCCCGGCUAACUACGUGCCAGCAGCCGCGGUAAUACGGAGGGGGCAAGCGUUAUCCGGAUUUACUGGGGGUAAAGGGAGCGUAGACGGCAGUGCAAGUCUGGAGUGAAAGGCGGGGGCUCAACCCCCGGAGUGCUCUGGAAACUGUACGGCUGGAGUGCAGGAGAGGUAAGUGGAAUUCCUAGUGUAGCGGUGAAUUGCGUAGAUAUUAGGAGGAACACCAGUGGCGAAGGCAGCUUACUGGACUGUAACUGACGCUGAUGCACGAAAGCGUGGGUAUCAAACAGGAUUAGAUACCCGGGUAGUC